AAGAUAUUUAAACACAAAUGUCUUGAGUUUUGCUGAAGUUCAUCCUCCCUCACUAUUAGCACCAUCUAGGUUUUCUCAUCGAGGCCAGGUUGCUGAUGAAGUUUUAAAGCACCCGUUCUUUCUUGUUGGAUGGGCUUGGAUGCAGGGCCUGGGUGCUGUCUUUGAACACUUGUGCUCAAGCCUAGUGCCUACCACUUUGAGCUGCAGCUUCACUUCCAGUUAUUUGCUAGCUGAUUGGGAAAAAAAGGAGUCUAACAGACUUUCCUGUCUGCGCUGACUUUGAACAGAAAUCCUCAGAUCUCAGCCUCCUGAGUAGCUAGGAAUACAGGAGUCAGCCACCAAUGCCUGUCUCACCAUCCAACCUUUCUUUAAAACUUGCUUUUACUCAUUCACUAGAGGAUUGCUGGCCCACUGCCUUUUAGAUGUUACUGGACCCACAAAUACUAAAGCAGCUCAGCUUAUUAAAUAAAUAGUUGUUCUGAUAGAAUGCUUAGCGUUACAUAUGUGAUCAGUGUUUUUCUCUUGGGUAAAAUACUUCAGAAUGCUGCUGUUAAGAUCUUGUCCAAAUUAGAAGGUUAUAUGCAUAAAACAAGAUUUUUCUUGUACUAGUGCUUGUUCUUCAUAGACUAACACAAUAAAGAGAUAUCCAGGGUUUUUUGCUUUUGUUUUUUUACAAAGACUCCCACUUUUGCCUAGUAGCAUGGAAAAAAACUUAAUCAUCCACAUAAAAUAAGUGUCAACAGCCUCCGUCUAAUAUUCUUUUAAUCAUUUCUCUUCAACAAAAUAGAGUGCUAGUAGUUAUCCAACAUACUAAUUGUAUUUAACAGUAAGCAAAUAUAUAAGCUGUGUCUGUGUGUCUGUGUGGUUGAGGAUCAAACCCUGGGCUUUGCACAUUACCAAGUGCUGUAUCAUCUAACCACACCCCAAGCUCUAAGCAAUGGUUUUUUAAAGGGGAGUUAUAAAGUUUUAGAUUUCUUUCUUUGCCAGGGUAUAGAGAUUUUAUAUGCAUGAACAUUUGUGCCAUUUUAGACUUUUUUUUCCAAUUAAAAAUGUUGAAAAACAGCCCAACUUCCAAAGUUCAUUUGUAAAUAGCUUGGAACUCUAUAUAACCAGAUUCUUAGGGAAGCUCAUAAAGGCUUAUUUAAACCAUCAUGUA